AAUAAAUGCAGUUAGGUUUUGUGAGGCUACAGGAAAGAAUCUCAAUCGCUAAUACUCACAGAGAAGCAACGAUGAAGCUGGAAAUGAGUAUAGUUAUACUGCUGUGUGUUUGGCCCACACUGGCACAGGAUUUAUUCACACCGACAUUAGAUAUCCUUAAAGAACUCAGAAAGAUUAAAACUAUGGAUUGAAAACUAAGAUUAAAAAGGUUAAAUGCUUCAAAUGAUGAAGUCAGGGAACUAAGAAGCAAGAAUGAAGAAAGGGCAAAAGUAGCUUUUUCAGCCACACCGUCUUCUUCACUGGGCUCUAAAUAUUUUGGACCUCAUGCAGAAGCAGCCACUCUUGCGUAUGAAAAUGCAUUUACUAACAUUGGAAAUGCUUAUGACACUAAUACAGGAAUCUUCACUGCAUCAGUAAAAGGGGUUUAUUUCUUCAACUUUGUGGUGUUCAAUCCUGAUGAAGAACCAACCGCUGUGAGACUGCUAAAAAAUGGCAAUCCUGUGGUCACAGCAUCAGAUAAUGCUCCUGGGCAAGA